GUGGGGAAUCUUCCGCAAUGGACGAAAGUCUGACGGAGCAACGCCGCGUGAGUGAAGAAGGUCUUCGGAUCGUAAAGCUCUGUUGUACGGGACGAAUGUUGAAGGCGUGAAUAAUGCCAUCAAAUGACGGUACUGUACGAGGAAGCCACGGCUAACUACGUGCCAGCAGCCGCGGUAAUACGUAGGUGGCGAGCGUUGUCCGGAAUUAUUGGGCGUAAAGGGAGCGCAGGUGGGAAGGUAAGUCUGUUUUAAAAGCGUCGGGCUCAACCCGAUGAGGGAACAGAAACUAUUUUUCUUGAGUGCAGGAGAGGAAAGUGGAAUUCCAAGUGUAGCGGUGAAAUGCGUAGAGAUUUGGAAGAACACCAGUGGCGAAGGCGACUUUCUGGACGAUGUCUGACGCUGAGGCGCGAAAGCUAGGGGAGCGAACGGGAUUAGAAACCCUUGUAGUCC
rnacentral:rRNA from 1 species